rnacentral:rRNA from 1 species
AGGGGGUGCUANCAUGCAAGUCGAGCGAACGGACGAGAAGCUUGCUUCUCUGAUGUUAGCGGCGGACGGGUGAGUAACACGUGGAUAACCUACCUAUAAGACUGGGAUAACUUCGGGAAACCGGAGCUAAUACCGGAUAAUAUUUUGAACCGCAUGGUUCAAAAGUGAAAGACGGUCUUGCUGUCACUUAUAGAUGGAUCCGCGCUGCAUUAGCUAGUUGGUAAGGUAACGGCUUACCAAGGCAACGAUGCAUAGCCGACCUGAGAGGGUGAUCGGCCACACUGGAACUGAGACACGGUCCAGACUCCUACGGGAGGCAGCAGUAGGGAAUCUUCCGCAAUGGGCGAAAGCCUGACGGAGCAACGCCGCGUGAGUGAUGAAGGUCUUCGGAUCGUAAAACUCUGUUAUUAGGGAAGAACAUAUGUGUAAGUAACUGUGCACAUCUUGACGGUACCUAAUCAGAAAGCCACGGCUAACUACGUGCCAGCAGCCGCGGUAAUACGUAGGUGGCAAGCGUUAUCCGGAAUUAUUGGGCGUAAAGCGCGCGUAGGCGGUUUUUUAAGUCUGAUGUGAAAGCCCACGGCUCAACCGUGGAGGGUCAUUGGAAACUGGAAAACUUGAGUGCAGAAAGAGGAAAGUGGAAUUCCCAUGUGUAGCGGNUGAAAAUGCGCAGAGAUAUGGAGGAACCACCAGUGGCGAAGGCGACUUUCUUGGUCUGUAACUGACGCUGAUGUGCGAAAGCGUGGGGAUCAAAACAGGAUUAGAUACCCUGGUAGUCCACGCCGUAAACGAUGAGUGCUAAGUGUUAGGGGGUUUCCGCCCCUUAGUGCUGCAGCUAACGCAUUAAGCACUCCGCCUGGGGAGUACGACCGCAAGGUUGAAACUCAAAGGAAUUGACGGGGACCCGCACAAGCGGUGGAGCAUGUGGUUUAAUUCGAAGCAACGCGAAGAACCUUACCAAAUCUUGACAUCCUUUGACAACUCUAGAGAUAGAGCCUUCCCCUUCGGGGGACAAAGUGACAGGUGGUGCAUGGUUGUCGUCAGCUCGUGUCGUGAGAUGUUGGGUUAAGUCCCGCAACGAGCGCAACCCUUAAGCUUAGUUGCCAUCAUUAAGUUGGGCACUCUAAGUUGACUGCCGGUGACAAACCGGAGGAAGGUGGGGAUGACGUCAAAUCAUCAUGCCCCUUAUGAUUUGGGCUACACACGUGCUACAAUGGACAAUACAAAGGGCAGCGAAACCGCGAGGUCAAGCAAAUCCCAUAAAGUUGUUCUCAGUUCGGAUUGUAGUCUGCAACUCGACUACAUGAAGCUGGAAUCGCUAGUAAUCGUAGAUCAGCAUGCUACGGUGAAUACGUUCCCGGGUCUUGUACACACCGCCAGUCACACCACGAGAGUUUGUAACACCCGAAGCCGGUGGAGUAACCUUUUAGGAGCUAGCCUCGAAG